UGGGGAAUAUUGGGCAAUGGACGCAAGUCUGACCCAGCAACGACGCGUGAAGGAAGAAGGCUUUCGGGUUGUAAACUUCUUUGACAGGGGAAGAGUAGAAGACGGUACCCUGAAAACAAGCCACGGCUAACUACGUGCCAGCAGCCGCGGUAAUACGUAGGGGGCAAGCGUUGUCCGGAUUUACUGGGUGUAAAGGGCGUGUAGCCGGGUCGGCAAGUCAGAUGUGAAAUCCACGGGCUUAACUCGUGAACUGCAUUUGAAACUGUUGAUCUUGAGUAUCGGAGAGGCAAUCGGAAUUCCUAGUGUAGCGGUGAAAUGCGUAGAUAUUAGGAGGAACACCAGUGGCGAAGGCGGAUUGCUGGACGACAACUGACGGUGAGGCGCGAAAGCGUG
rnacentral:rRNA from 1 species